CCUGACUCAGGGAGGUAGUGACAAGAAAUAACGGACCGAGGCUAUGCUUCGGGAUUGCAAUGAGUAGAAUUUAAACCCCUUUACGAGGAUCAAUUGGAGGGCAAGUCUGGUGCCAGCAGCCGCGGUAAUUCCAGCUCCAAUAGCAUAUAUUAAAGUUGUUGCAGUUAAAAAGCUCGUAGUUGGAUUUCUGGGAGGGUGCCAAUGUCCGCAUGUUGCGUGUGCAGAGGCGCCCUUCCAUCCUUCUGUUAACGUUUCUGGUAUUCAGUUACUGGACUCGGGCUCAGAUACUUUACCUUGAGAAAAUUAGAGUGUUCCAGGCAGGCUAGCGCCGGAAUACAUUAGCAUGGAAUAAUAGAAUAGGACUUUAGUCUCCUUUGUUGGUUUGAGGGACUGAAGUAAUGAUUAAUAGGGAUAGUUGGGGGCAUUAGUAUUUAAUUGUCAGAGGUGAAAUUCUCGGAUUUGUUAAAGACUAACUUAUGCGAAAGCAUUUGCCAAGGAUGUUUUCAUUAAUCAAGAACGAAAGUUAGGGGAUCAAAGACGAUCAGAUACCGUCGUAGUCUUAACCAUAAACUAUGCCGACUAGGGAUCGGAGGCGCGUUUUAUCCGCCUUCGGAACCUUAUGAGAAAUCAAAGUCUUUGGGUUCUGGGGGGAGUAUGGUCGCAAGGCUGAAACUUAAAGGAAUUGACGGAAGGGCACCACCAGGAGUGGAGCUUGCGGCUCAA
rnacentral:rRNA from 1 species